GCUUCAAGAAAACACUGAUGAUGUCUGUUUUGCCCACAACUAUUUCCCAGCAACUAUAGAGUUGGAAAAGGGUUAUGCAUAGGUUCCAAGGCUCCUGCAUUUCCAACAUGGAACCUGCAUUCCAACUUCCAUAUCCAAGAAAUGGAAUCUGCCCAGCUCUCCAGGGAUGAAGACUGCCGCUGUCCUUCAUCAAUGCCUGGAAAGAAGUGUUCAAUACCAGAGACUUUUUAAAUGUUUUUUUAAAAUGCAAUCUCAAGGGGUCCCAUUUCAAAGACCAUGGAACUGUAUAGAUGACCACAAAGUUAAUGGGAGAAAUUGAGGCAAUCAUUUAGGUAAUUCAGAACAGAUAUUGUGUUUCAGAGGUUUAGAUAAUUGGGGCAAAAGUCAGUGGAGUCUGGUGUAGUUGGAUGAUUGCUUAAUUCUCCACUGUGCAUUUUAUGCCUAAGUGGGUGGCUGGGGAGGUCAAAUUCCCUGCUGAGAAAUCUCAAAACAAAGGAAUGGAAAACACAUGAAAGAAGUUGCUUUUGCUUUUCUAAUGAGUGAGAAAAAUGUGCUCCAACAAUUAACUCACUCAAGCUUUGUGGAAUGUUAGGCAAAGAUUUUCCUACAUAAAUUAACAAUUCAUUAUAUCCCAUCUCUACUGAUGGAGAAAAUACUUCUAGAGAUGUG